UGGGGUAUAGCUCAGUGGUAGAGCAUUUGACUGCAGAUCAAGAGGUCCCCAGUUCAACUCUGGGUGCCCCUG
rnacentral:tRNA from 1 species